rnacentral:tRNA from 1 species
GGGCGAUUAGCUCAGUUGGCUAGAGCACCACGUUGACAUCGUGGGGGUCACAGGUUCAAGUCCUGUAUCGCCCA